AGGAAUCAAAUAUGAUAAAAGAAUCAUGAAUCAAUCUUUUUCUCAUAUUUAAUUGGCUGUAAACACCUAUAUCUUCAUAUUUCUUUUCAUAUUGAUCGUUUCAUACUCUUCAUACACCUUCUCGUCAAUUUCAUUUUCGUUCUUUCAUGGUUAUUAUCAUCGUUACAUUCACCGUCCGCUUCUUCGCCAUACUAUUCUUCUUCCUCUUCUUUUCCUCAUCAUCUUCUUAACUUUUUUCCGCAUCCUCUCCAUCUUCUUCUAUGUAUAACAUUCAUUAUUAUGUGGUUAAAACAAAGAAAGAAAUAUAAAACCUUAACCAAAAACUAGCUUCAUAAGCCUAUGAAUUAACUACCCAAAAAAUCGUUUAUUUGACCUUCUGAUCUCAAAAUUCAAUUCCUUGCUACCAGAACUUUGUUCCAAGUUAUCAUAAUUACUCCUACCAAAUUUCAGAUGAUUUUCAAUGACAGUACGUUUAUUUGUUACAUGCAUGGAAAUUUGUUUGAUAUGAAACUUUAAUAACGAAAGGUAUAAAAAAUCAGAAAUUUUCUGGAAACAGGCCGAAGAAACCAGAGACCUUACCAUCACAUGUAGAUAAAUAACUUUCAUAAAGCUGUUUAAAUCUAUAUUCCACCAUUCAACCUCAAGACAUUAAUACCAGAAACCUCAUCAAGUUCAAAGCCAAACAUUUGGUAUUGAGAUAUGAUUGUCAAAGACUCAAAAUCGCCAUUAUCAGCACC
rnacentral:lncRNA from 1 species